rnacentral:rRNA from 1 species
GACAGAGGGUGCAAACGUUGCUCGGAAUUACUGGGCGUAAAGCGCGUGUAGGCGGACCAACAAGUCGGACGUGAAAUCCCUGGGCUCAACCCAGGAACUGCAUCCGAAACUGUUGGUCUGGAGUGGUGGAGAGGGAAGCAGAAUUCCUGGUGUAGAGGUGAAAUUCGUAGAUAUCAGGAGGAACACCGGUGGCGAAGGCGGCUUCCUGGACACUUACUGACGCUGAGACGCGAAAGCGUGGGGAGCAAACAGG